AACGAACGCUGGCGGCAUGCCUAACACAUGCAAGUCGAACGAGACCUUCGGGUCUAGUGGCGCACGGGUGCGUAACGCGUGGGAAUCUACCCUCAGGUUCGGAAUAACUCAGAGAAAUUUGAGCUAAUACCGGAUGAUGACGUAAGUCCAAAGAUUUAUCGCCUGAGGAUGAGCCCGCUUAGGAUUAGGUAGUUGGUGAGGUAAAGGCUCACCAAGCCGACGAUCCUUAGCUGGUCUGAGAGGAUGAUCAGCCACACUGGGACUGAGACACGGCCCAGACUGCUACGGGAGGCAGCAGUGGGGAAUAUUGGACAAUGGGCGAAAGCCUGAUCCAGCAAUGCCGCGUGAGUGAUGAAGGCCUUAGGGUUGUAAAGCUCUUUUACCCGGGAUGAUAAUGACAGUACCGGGAGAAUAAGCACCGGCUAACUCCGUG
rnacentral:rRNA from 1 species